CUGCCCUGAUGAUUAUGACAUGAAACCGAUGAAACUACUAGCACCAGAUUUGGAAAUUUUCACAAUUCUUUUGAGGACGUUCUCAGUUGGGAAGCUAGGUUCUUAGAUUGCGACAUGUCUUGCAUCCAUUUGCCCCUUUUGGUGGUAAAAUAAGAGUUGGACUAGGAACCACCUUAUUGGACAACAAGGAUAUUGCAUUACGGAAGCCGAUCUGUGGUUGGCUGCGUAGUAGAUCUUCAGCAACC
rnacentral:lncRNA from 1 species